GGCACACACUGGCUUAUGAUAAGGGCUGGCGUGUCAGAACUGACUUUAAGCAGUAUCAGGUUUUGAAGCAGAAUCCGUUCUGGUGGACACACCAGCGGCAUGAUGGGAAGCUCUGGAACCUGAACAACUACCGUACAGACAUGAUCCAGGCCCUGGGCGGUGUGGAAGGCAUUCUGGAACACACACUCUUUAAGGGCACUUACUUCCCUACCUGGGAGGGGCUUUUCUGGGAGAAGGCCAGUGGCUUUGAGGAAUCUAUGAAGUGGAAGAAGCUAACUAAUGCUCAGCGAUCAGGAUUGAACCAGAUUCCCAAUCGUAGAUUCACCCUCUGGUGGUCCCCGACCAUCAAUCGAGCCAACGUAUAUGUAGGCUUUCAGGUGCAGCUAGACCUGACGGGUAUCUUCAUGCACGGCAAGAUCCCCACGCUGAAGAUCUCUCUCAUCCAGAUCUUCCGAGCUCACUUGUGGCAGAAGAUCCAUGAGAGCAUCGUUAUGGACCUAUGUCAGGUGUUUGACCAGGAACUCGAUGCACUGGAAAUUGAGACGGUACAAAAGGAGACAAUCCAUCCCCGAAAGUCAUAUAAGAUGAACUCUUCCUGUGCAGAUAUCCUGCUCUUUGCCUCCUAUAAGUGGAAUGUCUCCCGGCCCUCAUUGCUGGCUGACUCCAAGUAAGUGCCUCAGGACCCAGCCCUAGGCAGCCAGGACACUUUCGUUUUCCUGUUCUUCUAGCCCUACAACUUUAGGAAUUGUCGCUGUCUGCCUUUGUUUCAAACUUGGACUGGAGCCUGUCAACACCCUUAGUCAGAUCUGCUGAUUCUCUGGGGUCUUGCUGAUCUGGAACAAGAUGGUGUAGUGGGUGGGAUGGUUUUGGGAUUUAAGUGGUUCUGGUUCUGGGGACAUUGGUUAUGCCCAUGGUUUCCUAGAAGCUUGAACCCUCUUCAUCCUCAGGGAUGUGAUGGACAGCACCACCACCCAGAAAUACUGGAUUGACAUCCAGUUGCGCUGGGGGGACUAUGAUUCCCACGACAUUGAG
rnacentral:sRNA from 1 species